rnacentral:rRNA from 1 species
AGAGUUUGAUCAUGGCUCAGAUUGAACGCUGGCGGUAUGCUUAACACAUGCAAGUCGAACGGUAACAGGCCUUCGGGCGCUGACGAGUGGCGGACGGGUGAGUAACGCGUAGGAAUCUGCCUCAUAGUGGGGGACAACUUGGGGAAACUCAAGCUAAUACCGCAUACGCCCUACGGGGGAAAGCGGGGGACCUUCGGGCCUCGCGCUAUGAGAUGAGCCUGCGUUAGAUUAGCUAGUUGGUGGGGUAAAGGCCUACCAAGGCGACGAUCUAUAGCUGGUCUGAGAGGACAAUCAGCCACACUGGGACUGAGACACGGCCCAGACUCCUACGGGAGGCAGCAGUGGGGAAUAUUGGACAAUGGGCGCAAGCCUGAUCCAGCAAUACCGCGUGUGUGAAGAAGGCCUGAGGGUUGUAAAGCACUUUCAAUUGGGAGGAAAACCUGCCGGUCAAUACCCGGCAGCUUGACAUUACCUUUAGAAGAAGCACCGGCUAACUCCGUGCCAGCAGCCGCGGUAAUACGGAGGGUGCGAGCGUUAAUCGGAAUUACUGGGCGUAAAGCGUGCGUAGGCGGUUAUUUAAGUCAGAUGUGAAAGCCCCGGGCUUAACCUGGGAACUGCAUUUGAUACUGGGUAACUAGAGUUUAGUAGAGGAGAGUGGAAUUUCAGGUGUAGCGGUGAAAUGCGUAGAGAUCUGAAGGAACACCAGUGGCGAAGGCGACUCACUGGACUAAAACUGACGCUGAGGUACGAAAGCGUGGGUAGCAAACAGGAUUAGAUACCCUGGUAGUCCACGCCGUAAACGAUGUCAACUAGCCGUUGGGCCUUUUAACAGGCUUAGUGGCGCAGCUAACGCAUUAAGUUGACCGCCUGGGGAGUACGGCCGCAAGGUUAAAACUCAAAUGAAUUGACGGGGGCCCGCACAAGCGGUGGAGCAUGUGGUUUAAUUCGAUGCAACGCGAAGAACCUUACCUACCCUUGACAUCCAGAGAAUCUGUUAGAGAUAGCGGAGUG